rnacentral:misc_RNA from 1 species
GAUGAAGAACGUAGUGAAAUGCGAUAAGUAAUGUGAAUUGCAGAAUUCAGUGAAUCAUCGAAUCUUUGAACGCACCUUGCGCCCUUUGGCUAUUCCAAAGGGCAUGCCUGUUUGAGUAUCAUGAACACCUCAACUCUCAUGGUCUGCCAUGAUGAGCUUGGACUUUGGAGGUCUGCUGGCCUGUGGUCAGCUCCUCUCAAAUGAAUCAGCUUUCCGGUGUUUGGUGGCAUCAUGGGUGUGAUAAAUAUCUACGCUUGUGGUUUUCCACCAGGUAACCUUCAGUGAUGGGGGUUCGCUGGGGCUCAUAAAUGUCUCUCCUCAGCGAAGACAGCUUUGUGAAUGUUUGAUCUCAAAUCAGGUAGGACUACCCGCUGAACUUAAGCAUAUCAAUAAGCGAGGA